GAUGAAGAACGUAGCGAAAUGCGAUAAGUAAUGUGAAUUGCAGAAUUCAGUGAAUCAUCGAAUCUUUGAACGCACAUUGCGCCCCCUGGUAUUCCGGGGGGCAUGACUGUCCGAGCGUCAUUACAACCCUCAAGCUCAGCUUGGUGUUGGGCCCCGCCGCCCCGGCGGGCCCUAAAGUCAGUGGCGGUGCCGUCCGGCUCCGAGCGUAGUAAUUCUUCUCGCUCUGGAGGUCCGGUCGUGUGCUCGCCAGCAACCCCCAAUUUUUUUCAGGUUGACCUCGGAUCAGGUAGGGAUACCCGCUGAACUUAAGCAUAUCAAUAAGCGGAGGA
rnacentral:misc_RNA from 1 species